UACGAAGGGGGCUAGCGUUGUCCGGAUUUAUUGGGCGUAAAGAGCGUGUAGGCGGCCAGGUAGGUCUGCUGUGAAAACUCGAGGCUCAACCUCGAGACGUCGGCGGAAACCAUCUGGCUAGAGUCCGGAAGAGGAGAGUGGAAUUCCUGGUGUAGCGGUGAAAUGCGCAGAUAUCAGGAAGAACACCCGUGGCGAAGGCGGCUCUCUGGGACGGUACUGACGCUGAGACGCGAAAGCGUGGGGAGCGAACAGG
rnacentral:rRNA from 1 species